UACGGGGGGUGCAAGCGUUGUUCGGAAUUACUGGGCGUAAAGAGCUCGUAGGCGGCCUACUAAGUCAGACGUGAAAUCCCCAGGCUCAACCUGGGAACUGCGUCUGAUACUGGAUGGCUUGAGUUCGGGAGAGGGAUGCAGAAUUCCAGGUGUAGCGGUGAAAUGCGUAGAUAUCUGGAGGAAUACCGGUGGCGAAGGCGGCAUCCUGGACCGACAUUGACGCUGAGGCGCGAAAGCUAGGGGAGCAAACGGG
rnacentral:rRNA from 1 species